UACGUAGGGAGCAAGCGUUGUCCGGAUUUAUUGGGCGUAAAGAGCGUGUAGGCGGCUAGAUAGGUCCGUUGUGAAAACUCGAGGCUCAACCUCGAGACGUCGAUGGAAACCAUCUGGCUAGAGUCCGGAAGAGGAGAGUGGAAUUCCUGGUGUAGCGGUGAAAUGCGCAGAUAUCAUGAAGAACACCCGUGGCGAAGGCGGCUCUCUGGUACGUGACUGACGCUGAGACGCGAAAGCGUGGGGAGCGAACAGG
rnacentral:rRNA from 1 species